rnacentral:rRNA from 1 species
AUUGAACGCUGGCGGCAGGCUUAACACAUGCAAGUCGAACGGUAACGGGAAGGAAGCUUGCUUUCUUUGCUGACGAGUGGCGGACGGGUGAGUAAUGCUUGGGAAUCUGUUUUAUGGAGGGGGAUAACUACGGGAAACUGUAGCUAAUACCGCGUAAUAUCGAGAGAUUAAAGUGUGGGACCGCAAGGCCACAUGCCAUGAAGUGAGCCCAAGUGGGAUUAGGUAGUUGGUGGGGUAAAGGCCUACCAAGCCGUCGAUCUCUAGCUGGUCUGAGAGGAUGACCAGCCACACUGGGACUGAGACACGGCCCAGACUCCUACGGGAGGCAGCAGUGGGGAAUAUUGCACAAUGGGCGCAAGCCUGAUGCAGCCAUGCCGCGUGAAUGAAGAAGGCCUUCGGGUUGUAAAGUUCUUUCGGUGGUGAGGAAGGUUGGCGUGUUAAUAGCACGUUGAUUUGACGUUAGCCACAGAAGAAGCACCGGCUAACUCCGUGCCAGCAGCCGCGGUAAUACGGAGGGUGCGAGCGUUAAUCGGAAUAACUGGGCGUAAAGGGCACGCAGGCGGAUACUUAAGUGAGGUGUGAAAGCCCUGGGCUUAACCUAGGAAUUGCAUUUCAUACUGGGUAUCUAGAGUAUUUUAGGGAGGGGUAGAAUUCCACGUGUAGCGGUGAAAUGCGUAGAGAUGUGGAGGAAUACCGAAGGCGAAGGCAGCCCCUUGGGGGGAAUACUGACGCUCAUGUGCGAAAGCGUGGGAGCAAACAGG